AUGACCUUUACCAGAUGUCGUCCACGGAUCAAAUUAUUUCGUGGAUUGGAUUUCACUUGCCUGUCUAUGGUUCCCUUGCGUGUGCUCGGGAUAGAUGUUUUGUAUAAAUGUUUUGCCGUAUUAUAA
rnacentral:rRNA from 1 species